GACAGAGGGUGCAAACGUUGUUCGGAAUUACUGGGCGUAAAGGGCGCGUAGGCGGACAGUUUAGUCAGAGGUGAAAGCCCAGGGCUCAACCCUGGAAUUGCCUUUGAUACUGGCUGUCUUGAGUACGGGAGAGGUGUGUGGAACUCCGAGUGUAGAGGUGAAAUUCGUAGAUAUUCGGAAGAACACCAGUGGCGAAGGCGACACACUGGCCCGUUACUGACGCUGAGGCGCGAAAGCGUGGGGAGCAAACAGG
rnacentral:rRNA from 1 species